UACGUAGGGGGCAAGCGUUGUCCGGAUUUAUUGGGCGUAAAGAGCGUGUAGGCGGCCAAGCAGGUCAGCUGUGAAAACUCGAGGCUCAACCUCGAGACGUCGGUUGAAACCGUACGGCUAGAGUCCGGAAGAGGAGAGUGGAAUUCCCGGUGUAGCGGUGAAAUGCGCAGAUAUCGGGAAGAACACCCGUGGCGAAGGCGGCUCUCUGGGACGGUACUGACGCUGAGACGCGAAAGCGUGGGGAGCGAACAGG
rnacentral:rRNA from 1 species